rnacentral:rRNA from 1 species
GACGAACGCUGGCGGCGUGCUUAACACAUGCAAGUCGAACGACGAAGCGCUAGCUUGCUGGUGUGGAUUAGUGGCGAACGGGUGAGUAACACGUGAGUAACCUGCCCUCUACUCUGGGAUAAGCCUGGGAAACUGGGCCUAAUACUGGACAUGAUCAAUCACUGCAUGGUGUGUUGGUGGAAAGAGUUUUUGGUGGGGGAUGGACGCGCGGCCUAUCAGCUUGUUGGUGGGGUAAUGGCCUACCAAGGCGACGACGGGUAGCCGGCCUGAGAGGGCGACCGGCCACACUGGGACUGAGACACGGCCCAGACUCCUACGGGAGGCAGCAGUGGGGAAUAUUGCACAAUGGGCGAAAGCCUGAUGCAGCGACGCCGCGUGAGGGAUGACGGCCUUCGGGUUGUAAACCUCUUUCACCAGGGACGAAGCUAACGUGACGGUACCUGGAGAAGAAGCACCGGCUAACUACGUG